CCCUGGUUAGCUCAGUUGGUAGAGCGCUCCACUUGUAAUGGAGAGGUCCCAGGUUCGAUACCCGGACCAGGCG
rfam:Ixodes scapularis strain Wikel colony gcontig_1108379281920, whole genome shotgun sequence.